AAUAUGUGGACAUAUGUCAGUGUCCAUCUUUAUCUAUUGUGGAAUUUCACAGCAAAGGUCGCUACAUCAAUGAUUGGAGAUUGCACGGUGCUUGGAGGUCCGAGACAGUGCUGCAAGAAUUAUCGUCUGAAGGGUAAACAGUGUAUAGAAUGUUGGGCCGGGACCUUUGGUGAUGGUUGUACAGAAACUUGUCCUCCAAACAAGUAUGGAAUUUUUUGCGUGGAGGAAUGCAACUGCACAAUGUUUGAGACAUGCGAUGGGGCAAAAGGAUG